GGCUGUAGCUCAGUGGUGGAGCACUUGCCUAGCAAGUGCAAGGCCCUGGGUUUGAUCCCCAGCAUUGCCA
rnacentral:tRNA from 1 species